rnacentral:rRNA from 1 species
GGCUCAGGAUGAACGCUGGCGGUGUGCCUUAAGCAUGCAAGUAGAACGCUCCUUCGCUCCACGCUGCGCGUGAAGCUACGGAAGCGCACGGCGCAAAUAUGCACGUGCGUUUUUUUCGCGAAUAGCGCGGAGUGAAGGGGAGUUGCAGACGGGUGAGUACAGCAUAGGAAUCUACCCAUUGGCGGGGAAUAACUUGUCGAAAGACGGGCUAAUACCGCAUAAGAUCGCAAGAUGAAAGGCCUUAACGGGUCACCGAUGGAGGAGCCUAUGUCCUAUCAGUUAGUUGGCGGGGUAAUUGCCCACCAAGACGACGACGGGUAGCUGGACUGAGAGGUUGGUCAGCCACAAUAGCACUGAGAUACGGGCUAUACGUCUACGGACGGCAGCAACUGGGAAUAUUGCGCAAUGGACGAAAGUCUGACGCAGCGACACCGCGUGAAGGAUGAAGGCCUUAGGGUCGUAAACUUCUUUUGAUUCGUCAUAUGACGAGUAGAAUAAGCACCUGCUAACCACGUGCCAGCAGCCGCGGUAAUACGUGGGGUGCAAGCGUUAUCCGGAUUUACUGGGCGUAAAGAGUUCGUAGGUUUUUGGGUACAUCUUGUUUCAAAGCCCGGGGCUUAACCCCGGAAAGGGAUGAGAUAUGGCCUGAAUAGAGUUUGCUAGGGGGUACUGGAACUGAUAGUGUAGCAGUGAAAUGCGUUGAUAUUAUCAGGAACACCGAGAGCGAAGGCAGGUACCUGGGGCACAACUGACACUGAGGAACGAAAGCUAGGGGAGCGAAAGGGAUUAGAGACCCCUGUAGUCCUAGCCGUAAACUAUGUUCGCUUGAUUUUCCGAGUUUACUCGGGGGGUCGGAGCUAACGCGUGAAGCGAACCGCCUGGGGAGUACGAC